AUUGAACGCUGGCAGCAGGCCUAACACAUGCAAGUCGAGCGGAUGAAGGGAGCUUGCUCCUGGAUUCAGCGGCGGACGGGCGAGUAAUUCAUAGGAAUCUGCCUGGCAGUGGGGGAUAACGUCCGGACACGGGCGCUAAUACCGUAUACGUCCUGAGGGAGAACGUGGGGGAUCUUCGGACCUCACGCUAUCAGAUGAGCCUAGGUCGGAUUAGCUAGUUGGUGGGGUAAAGGCCUACCAAGGCGACGAUCCGUAACUGGUCUGAGAGGAUGAUCAGUCACACUGGAACUGAGACACGGUCCAGACUCCUACGGGAGGCAGCAGUGGGGAAUAUUGGACAAUGGGCGAAAGCCUGAUCCAGCCAUGCCGCGUGUGUGAAGAAGGUCUUCGGAUUGUAAAGCACUUUAAGUUGGGAGGAAAGGCAGUAAGUUAAUACCUUGCUGUUUUGACGGUACCAACAGAAUAAGCACCGGCUAACUUCGUG
rnacentral:rRNA from 1 species